UACAGAGGUCCCAAGCGUUGUUCGGAUUCACUGGGCGUAAAGGGUGCGUAGGCGGUCGGGUAAGUCUGACGUGAAAUCUUCAAGCUCAACUUGGAAACUGCGUCGGAUACUAUUCGGCUAGAGGAAUGGAGGGGAGACUGGAAUACUUGGUGUAGCAGUGAAAUGCGUAGAUAUCAAGUGGAACACCAGUGGCGAAGGCGAGUCUCUGGACGGCAACUGACGCUGAGGCACGAAAGCGUGGGGAGCAAACAGG
rnacentral:rRNA from 1 species